AGUAUAUUUUUAUAAGAUCUUGAAUAAUCAUGAUGGUAUUCAGUUUUCCAGUCGGUAUUACAAUAAAGCGUACCUAUCCGGGCGAGUAUACUAAUAUAUUAUUAUAAUUCGUCAAGAUUUGUUUUUUUUUUUCGAUUACGUUUUGGAAUUAUGCAAUUAUAUAAUAUUUUUAAAAAUGCGUCAUAUCCAAUGAGUGUAGCGAGGAAUGUAUUGGUUUUACUGUUAUACUUUUUUUUUUUUUUGUGCGUCUUUAAACCGCUAUUCUACCAGAAAUCUUGUUCCAAUCAAAAAUUGUAUAGGAACUUUGUUUCGAUCCGGUUAGUGUGUCGACAAAUUCAUUUUUUGAUUUUCCUUAUAAAUAAAUGGGUAAAACUGACAAUUUGUAUAAUUUUUGUACUUGAUUUCUGGGUUAUUUUGGCAAAAAGGGAAAUAUAAGAUUACUAAUACUUUGUUCAGAAUAGCUUUUCGUUAGCGUAUCCUCCCAUUUAACUUCCCUCUUAAAACAGUCGUCAUCAACAGUAUCAACCUUUAUUAUUGUUCAUUUAAAUCGUAAUAUUUUUUUGUUUUAAUCACGGUCACGUCACAUUACAGUUGAUCGCAAUAUAUAGCAGAUGGCAUGAUGACUGAUUCAGUACUCGAAUUUUGAAAAAUAAGAGUGAUUACCUAUAUAUUAUAUAUAAUAUACCCAUAUACCCGGGGUUAUAGGAUUCGUCGUCCGCCACAAUUCAAUAUAGGUAUAAUUAAUAAUUGUACAUGUUAUGAUAUAAUUAACUUGUGUUGUUAUUUUUUUCAUCAAUUUAGCGCUUGUUCUCGUAAAAAAAAAUUAAUAUUUCGGUUAAAUUAUACUGACUUUGUUAUUAGUCAAAAGUACAAUACAGCAAAAUAUAAUAAUGAUAACAAUG